GACGAACGCUGGCGGCGUGCUUAACACAUGCAAGUCGAACGGAAAGGCCCUGCUUUUGUGGGGUGCUCGAGUGGCGAACGGGUGAGUAACACGUGAGUAACCUGCCCUUGACUUUGGGAUAACUUCAGGAAACUGGGGCUAAUACCGGAUAGGAGCUCCUGCUGCAUGGUGGGGGUUGGAAAGUUUCGGCGGUUGGGGAUGGACUCGCGGCUUAUCAGCUUGUUGGUGGGGUAGUGGCUUACCAAGGCUUUGACGGGUAGCCGGCCUGAGAGGGUGACCGGCCACAUUGGGACUGAGAUACGGCCCAGACUACUACGGGAGGCAGCAGUGGGGAAUAUUGCACAAUGGGAGGAAGCAUGAUGCAGCAACGCCGCGUGCGGGAUGACGGCCUUCGGGUUGUAAACCGCUUUCGCCUGUGACGAAGCGUGAGUGACGGUAAUGGGUAAAGAAGCACCGGCUAACUACGUG
rnacentral:rRNA from 1 species